rnacentral:rRNA from 1 species
CUAAGACCGCAUAGGUGUAGAGAUCGCAUGAACUCUAUAUGAAAAGUGCUACGGGACUGGUAAAUGAUGGACUUAUGGCGCAUUAGCUUGUUGGUAGGGUAACGGCCUACCAAGGCGACGAUGCGUAGCCGACCUGAGAGGGUGACCGGCCACACUGGGACUGAGACACGGCCCAGACUCCUACGGGAGGCAGCAGUAGGGAAUUUUCGGCAAUGGGGGAAACCCUGACCGAGCAACGCCGCGUGAAGGAAGAAGUAAUUCGUUAUGUAAACUUCUGUCAUAGAGGAAGAACGGUGGAUAUAGGGAAUGAUAUCCAAGUGACGGUACUCUAUAAGAAAGCCACGGCUAACUACGUGCCAGCAGCCGCGGUAAUACGUAGGUGGCGAGCGUUAUCCGGAAUUAUUGGGCGUAAAGAGGGAGCAGGCGGCACUAAGGGUCUGUGGUGAAAGAUCGAAGCUUAACUUCGGUAAGCCAUGGAAACCGUAGAGCUAGAGUGUGUGAGAGGAUCGUGGAAUUCCAUGUGUAGCGGUGAAAUGCGUAGAUAUAUGGAGGAACACCAGUGGCGAAGGCGACGAUCUGGCGCAUAACUGACGCUCAGUCCCGAAAGCGUGGGGAGCAAAUAGGAUUAGAUACCCUAGUAGUCCACGCCGUAAACGAAGAGGACUAAGUGUUGGGGGUCAAAGCUCAGUGCUGC